rnacentral:misc_RNA from 1 species
UCCGGUUUGACACCGGCAGUCUCCCUAGAGUGCCCGGCUUUACCCGCUGGUAACUAGGGACAAGGGUUGCGCUCGUUGCAGGACUUAACCUAACACCUCACGGCACGAGCUGACGACAGCCAUGCAGCACCUGUGCAAGCUGGUCUUGCGACCUCGUCACCCUUUCAGGCUUCUACUACUUGCAUGUCAAGGCCAGGUAAGGUUCUUCGCGUUGCGUCGAAUUAAACCACAUGCUCCACCGCUUGUGCGGGCCCCCGUCAAUUCCUUUGAGUUUCAACCUUGCGGUCGUACUCCCCAGGCGGGGUACUUCCUGCGUUAGCGCCGGCACCCAGAGGGUCGCUCCCCCAGGCACCUAGUACCCAUCGUUUACGGCGUGGACUAC